GACGAACGCUGGCGGCGUGCUUAACACAUGCAAGUCGAACGGAGUGGCGCACGGGUGAGUAAUGUAUAGCUAAUCUGCCCUACACUAGAGGACAACAGUUGGAAACGGCUGCUAAUACUCUAUAGUGUAGGAUGAGGCUAUAUUGUAUCAGCUAGUUGGUGAGGUAAUGGCGCACCAAGGGUAUGACGCAUAACUGGUCUGAGGGGAUGAUCAGUAACACCGUAACGGAGACACGGUCCAGACUCCUACGGGAGGCAGCAGUAGGGAAUAUUGCUCAAUGGGGGAAACCCUGAAGCAGCAACGCCGCGUGGAGGAUGACAAUUUUCGGAGCGUAAACUCCUUUUGUUAGGGAAGCGGUACCUAACGAAUAAGCACCGGCUAACUCCGUGCCAGCAGCCGCGGUAAUUC
rnacentral:rRNA from 1 species